GAUGACCGCUAGCGGCAGGCUUAACACAUGCAAGUCGAGGGGUAGAGGCCUUCGGGCCUUGAGACCGGCGCACGGAUGCGUAACGCGUAUGCAAUCUGCCUUCCACAGAGGGAUAGCCCAGAGAAAUUUGGAUUAAUACCUCAUAGCAUCAUGACCCGGCAUCGGGAUAUGAUUAAAGUCACAACGGUGGAAGAUGAGCAUGCGUCCCAUUAGCUAGUUGGUAAGGUAACGGCUUACCAAGGCUACGAUGGGUAGGGGUCCUGAGAGGGGAGAUCCCCCACAUGGUACUGAGACACGGACCAGACUCCUACGGGAGGCAGCAGUGAGGAAUAUUGGUCAAUGGGCGCAAGCCUGAACCAGCCAUGCCGCGUGCAGGAUGACGGUCCUAUGGAUUGUAAAACUGCUUUUGUACGGGAAGAAAACCCUCCUACGUGUAGGAGCUUGACGGUACCGUAAGAAUAAGGAUCGGCUAACUCCGUGCCAGCAGCCGCGGUAAUACGGAGGAUCCAAGCGUUAUCCGGAAUCAUUGGGUUUAAAAGGGUCUGUAGGCGGUCUUGUAAGUCAGUGGUGAAAGCCCAUCGCUCAACGGUGGAACGGCCAUUGAUACUGCUGGACUUGAAUUAUUGGGAAGCAACUAGAAUAUGUAGUGUAGCGGUGAAAAUGCUUAGAGAUUACAUGGAAUACCAAUUGCGAAGGCAGGUUGCUACCAAUGGAUUGACGCUGAUG
rnacentral:rRNA from 1 species